UGCAAGUGAUGGUCUAUGGAAGGUAAUGUCUAAUCAAGAGGCAGUUGACAUUGUGAGGAAGGUCAAAGAUCCAGAGAAGGCAGCCAAGCAAUUAGCGAUCGAAGCAUUGGUCAGAGAAAGCAAAGAUGAUAUCUCAUGCAUUGUUGUCCGAUUUAAGGGGUAAUUUUGAUCCAUGGGAAUUUAUCGCAGUGUGCAGUAUAUAUAUUUAUUAGAGGGGUAUUUGUUAGAUGAGGCACUUCUAUAGACUGACAGAAUGCAUAAAGUCUCGGACAAUCCUGCAUAAAUUAUUAAAAUGUUUCCAGAAAAGAGAUUAUGCUAUGUUCCUCUCCCCCAACCCUCUGUAAUAUUUAAAUUCUUUACUCGGGCCGUGUGGUUGUUAUGUGUUGAUUUAU
rnacentral:misc_RNA from 1 species